rnacentral:tRNA from 1 species
GCCUUCGUAGUGUAACAGUUAGCACACUCGGCGCGUAUUCGAAAGGUCAAGGGUUCGACUCCCGGUGAGGGCA